rnacentral:rRNA from 1 species
UAAGUAUACCGGAAGGUGUGCUUGGAACAUCAAAAAAUAGCUUAACUAAAGCCUUUCGCUUACACCGAACCGAUACCCGUUAAAACCGAGUUCUUUUGAGUUAUAAAACUAGCCCGCUAUAAACCCCCAACUACACAAUAAAAUUAACUAAAACAUUAUCUGACUUUAGUAUAGGAGAUAGAAAAAGACUCAGGAGCAAUAGAUAAAGUACCGCAAGGGAACAAUGAAAUAGAAAUGAAAUAAAUCAUAAAACACAAAAAAGCAGAGAUUUAGCCUCGUACCUUUAGCAUCAUGGUCUAGCUAGUCAACCCAAGCAAAAUGAUUUAAAGUUUGACCCCCCGAAACUAAGUGAGCUACUCCAGGAUAGCAAAUAGAGCAAACCCGUCUCUGUAGCAAAAGAGUGGGAAGAUCCCCGAGUAGAGGUGAUAGACCUAACGAACUUAGUGAUAGCUGGUUGCUCAAGAAAAGAAUUUUAGUUCAGCCUUAAAACAAUUUUUAAUAAAUUUAAUAAAAAAUAUUAAUUAAGAGUUACUCAAUAGAGGUACAGCUCUCUUGAAAAAGAAUACAACCUAAAAUUUUGGGUAAAGAUUAUAAUUACUAAAGAAAUAUGUUUAAGUGGGCUUGAAAGCAGCCACCUUGAAAGAAAGCGUCACAGCUCUAUCACUAUUAACCCUAACAAUACCUAUAAAUUCCUCCUAACCCACCCCUUAUACUGAGCUAAUCUAUUGAAAAUAGAAUUAUUAAUGCUAGAAUUAGUAACAAGAAAUAAAUUUCUCCUAAUGUAAGUGUAAAUCAGAUUGAAUACAUCACCGAUACUUAACGACCCUUCCGAAGAGAUUAUAACAACCACCUACAAGAAAAACCUAUAAUAUUAACCGUUAACCUAACACAAGAACAUUCAAAGAAAGAUUAAAAGACAUUGAAGGAACUCGGCAAACUAGACCCUCGCCUGUUUACCAAAAACAUCGCCUCUUGCCACACAAGUAUAAGAGGUCCAGCCUGCCCAGUGACUUCAUGUUCAACGGCCGCGGUAUUCUGACCGUGCAAAGGUAGCGUAAUCACUUGUCCUUUAAAUAGGGACCAGUAUGAAUGGCCCCACGAGGGGUCGACUGUCUCCCAUGUCCAAUCAGUGAAAUUGAUUUCCCAGUGCAGAAACUGGGAUAACAACAUAAGACGAGAAGACCCCAUGGAACUUAAAACACAUUAACACUUGCUUCAUAAUAUAACCCUUCUGGCACAAUUCAAUUAAGCCACCAUUGAUUAUUUGUUUUUGGUUGGGGCGACCACGGAGAAAAACAAAACCUCCGAGCCGAAUGGAACACUUCUCCUAACCAAGAGCUACCUCUCUAAGUAUUAGAACCUCUAACGGUAUUUGAUCCAGCUUUACUGAUCAACGAACCAAGCUACCCUGGGGAUAACAGCGCAAUCUACUCUAAGAGUCCCUAUCGACGAGCAGGUUUACGACCUCGAUGUUGGAUCAGGACACCCCAAUGGUGCAGCCGCUAUUAAAGGCUCGUUUGUUCAACGAUUAAAGUCCU